AGAGCCAGCAGCUCUUUGGGGGACACAGAGGGAGCACCUCUGCUAGGCAAGUGUCCUGUUAAUGCUUUUGAAGAGGCAGCUCUCCUUGCAGCUGAUUGAUCCCUGCAAGCCCAAAGUGACAUCCAUGAAGGAAGAUUCUCAGUCAGAGUGGAUCACCAUCUGACUAAUUCAGUUUAUUCCGUACAGGGCCUGGGCAGCUGCAAGUCCAUUUGAGGUUGAUUUCAACCAGUUGUUUCUUUGAGGGAUGUGUUAAAACAACACAAAGAGACAAUUCACACACACACAGGAUGGACAGAGCCCAGUGUGAUUCAAGAGUCUAAGGAAAUUUUCAAUCAUAUUGAGAGAGAGAGGAAACUAGAAAAUGGAAUGGGAUUGCACUGCAAGGCUGUGACCUGUCUGUGCCCAGAGCUCUGCCUUAAAUUGGAAGAAAAGUGCCAAUUAAUCUGACACUGAGGAAGGCAUAGGCAAUGAAACUAUUUCAUGUCUGCUCAUUUCCCCCCAUGGCAUGUAGUCCUCUCCACCUUACUAAUUGGAGAAAACUUGCUAACAGCUCUCUGAUGUGGGUUUAAUUAAAUACCUUUUGAAUGCCUCUGAGCGGUGGGAGAAGCUGGUGGAGUCAUUCCAAGUCUGACACACUCAGGAAGGGCUUCAAAUCUGGGGCUCCUUGCUUCAUCAACAAAAAAACAAAGAGGCUGUGGGAGCAGUGGAGGAUCUUUAAUAAAAACUGAGCUGGAAACUAAA